rnacentral:tRNA from 1 species
GCCCCCGUAGCUUAAUUGGAUAGAGCAGGUCCUUGCGGAGGACAAGGUUGCCCGUUCAAGUCGGGCCAGGGGCA